UUAUCCUUUAAUGAGACAACUGAGGUAUUUUCUCAAAGUUUGUUUCUCUCGCAACUUGGCUACAUCAAUAUUUUACCAUAAAUCUACAUUGAGUUCCAAAUGCUGAAAUUAAAAUGUAAAAGUAAAAAUAAAAAAGAUGCACACAUAUAACAUUAAUAAUUAAAAUUUCACUUACAGCUCCUUUUACUGCAACAUCCACAUCUG
rnacentral:misc_RNA from 1 species